rnacentral:rRNA from 1 species
GACGGAGGAUGCAAGCGUUAUCCGGAAUGAUUGGGCGUAAAGCGUCCGCAGGUGGCAGUUCAAGUCUGCUGUCAAAGACCGGGGCUUAACUUCGGAAAGGCAGUGGAAACUGAACAGCUAGAGUAUGGUAGGGGCAGAGGGAAUUCCUGGUGUAGCGGUGAAAUGCGUAGAGAUGUGGAGGAACACCGAUGGCGAAGGCAGCCCCCUGGGUCAAAACUGACGCUCAUGCACGAAAGCGUGGGGAGCAAACAGG